CACGUAGGGCGCAAGCGUUGUCCGGAAUUAUUGGGCGUAAAGAGCUCGUAGGCGGUCUGUUACGUCUGCUGUGAAAACCCGGGGCUUAACCCUGGGCUUGCAGUGGAUACGGGUAGACUAGGGGCAGGUAGGGGAGAAUGGAAUUCCCGGUGUAGCGGUGAAAUGCGCAGAUAUCGGAAGGAACACCAGUGGCGAAGGCGGCUUCCUGGCCUGUUCUUGACGCUGAGGCGCGAAAGCUAGGGGAGCAAAUGGG
rnacentral:rRNA from 1 species